AAACCUCUCUCCUGUGUAUGCUUUGCCUCGUCGCGACGUCGCAUAGCAAUCACAGAAACCCUAGCUCCCCUUCCUUCCAUACUUCCGGCGGCGGCAACGGUUGAAACGGCGGAGACGGAUUACUUCAUGCUUGGAGCGCUCGUUGUAGAUUAUCGAUUACCACACUGAUGGAAAUUGCUUCUCGGAAAAGGAAAAGCAUGCUUCUGAUUACGUACUCUGAGGAAAUUGUGGAUGGCAAGCCAAUCAUAGUUUGCUCAAAUUGCCUUCCGAUUAAGGUGCAUCGAGAACCAGCAGGGCAUGCCUUCCAUGAUGCUGCUCUUAAGCUGUCAGGCCACUUUGUGGUGGUGGAUGACAAGGACAAAGAUGAUGGCAAGACAGUUCCGGAGGAGAAAGAGAAUGUUUAUGUUCAAUCAUCAGAGUCUUACAAAGGAAAGAAGAAAUCUGGCGGUGAUUCAAAGCAGCAAGAUCAUUAUGCCUUGUUGGGGUUGAGUCAUUUGAGGUAUCUGGCAACUGAAGAUCAGAUAAGGAAAAGUUAUCGUGAGGCAGCUCUGAGACAUCAUCCUGACAAGCAGGCUGCUCUUUUGCUCCUCGAGAAAACUGAGGAUGCGAAGCAGGCAAAGAAGGAUGAGAUAGAGAGUCUGUUCAAGGCCAUUCAGGAGUCAUAUGAGGUGCUGAUAGACCCUGUCAAGAGAAGAAUCUAUGAUUCCACAGAUGAGUUUGAUGAUGAAAUUCCCGUUGACUGCGCACCACAGGACUUCUACAAGGUCUUUGGACCUGCCUUCUUGAGGAAUGGACGCUGGUCUGUUAACCAGGCUGUCCCGACUUUGGGAGAUGAUAAAAGCCCAAUCAAAGAAGUGGAUGCUUUCUAUGACUUUUGGUAUGCAUUCAAGAGCUGGAGGGAGUUUCCUCAUGCUGAUGAGUAUGAUCUGGAGCAAGCUGAGUCCCGUGAAGACAAAAGGUAUAUGGAAAGGCAAAAUGCUAAACUUUCGGAGAAGGCAAGGAAAGAAGAAUAUGCACGUAUACGCACUCUUGUUGAUAAUGCCUACAAACGAGACCCGCGAAUUUUGAGAAGAAAAGAAGAUCUGAAAGCUGAGAAGGUAAGGAAAAGGGAGGCAAAGGUUUUGGCCAAGAAAAUGCAGGAGGAAGAAGCAGCUAGAAUUAUUGAAGAGGAGAAGAAACGGAAAGAGGAGGAGGAGAAAAGGGCCGCUGAAGCUGCUUCAAAUCAGAGAAAGAUCAAGGAGAAAGAAAAGAAGCUCCUUCGCAAAGAACGGACCCGUCUUCGAACACUUUCAGCACCUAUUUUGUCCCAGCAUUUGCAUGGUCUUACUGCUGAUGAUGUGGAAAGUCUUUGCUCAUCUUAUGAUAAAGAUCAGCUCAAAAGUCUAUGUGAUCGGAUAGAAGGGAAGGAAUUGGUUGAGAGCGGAAAUCUCCUAGCCGAGUGUCUCAACACCGAUCAGAAACCGAAGGAUGUGAAGGAAGUUGAAACAAAUUCUAAACCGAAUGGUUCUGUAGCUAUGAAUGGACAUGCUACUUACAGCAGCUAUGAGAAAAGAGAAAAACCUUGGUCUAAAGAAGAGAUUGAUCUUUUGAGGAAGGGAAUGCUGAAAUUUCCUAAAGGAACUUCUCGAAGGUGGGAAGUGAUCUCUGAAUAUAUUGGUACUGGUCGGUCUGUGGAAGAGAUUCUCAAGGCUACAAAAACAGUACUUUUACAGAAGCCAGAUUCUGCUAAAGCUUUUGACUCCUUCCUUGAGAAAAGAAAGCCUACGCCCACGAUAGUAUCUCCUCUCACAACUAGGGAGGAGGUUAAGGGCACGCCCAUUAACAUUGAGGAGAGUCAAUCUUCAGCUCCUGAUAAUUUGCCAGAGUCAUCAAAUUCUAGUGUAAACAAUCUGAGCUCUGGCGACAGUACUGCUGCAAAUGGAGUUUCCUCAGACCAAGAUUCAUGGUCCGUUGUCCAGGAAAAAGCUUUAGUCCAAGCUCUGAAAACCUUCCCAAAGGACACUAACCAGCGCUGGGAACGAGUUUCAGCUGCAGUUCCCGGAAAAACUGUGGCUCAAUGUAAGAAGAAAAUCACUAUGAUGAAGGACAGCUUCAGGAGCAACGAUGUGGCAGACAGAGGCACUGAGGACCCGAAGGAUUUGAAGGACUCGUCCAGUCAGAACGAGGAAACGACCAAGGCCUCAGCUGACAGUGACGCUGCUGUAAACGACAUUUCAUCUAGUUCUGAUGCAGACAUGUGGUCCGAUGUCCAGGAGAAAGCAUUGAUCCAAGCACUGAAAACCUUCCCAAAAGACACUAACCAGCGAUGGGAGCGCAUUGCUGCAGCAGUUCCAGGGAAAACAGUGAAUCACUGUAAGAAAAAGUUUGCAUCUCUAAAAGAGAGCUUUAGGAGCAAGAAAAACACAGCUUAGUUUUUACAAUCAUGUUAUUAUUUGGUCGUGGAGAUGGAACAAGUCUUGGGGACUCGCAGCAGCAGCUUCUCUUACAACACCAUUCCUAUGACUGUUAUUGUUGUCACUUCUUAAGGUUUAAUUGAUGGGUGGCUGAGGUGGCGGUGGCAUGGGACAACCGAGUGGAAGAACAUAAGAUGGUUGGUGGUGGUGGUGCCCUGGAGGCAUCAUCACUGGAGUGCCUACUGCAGGAGCCAUGUGACGGCCGGGAGGAACAGCCACCGGCUGCCCCACAGGUGCUCCGCCGUACAUGCCUAAUCCAUGCAUGUUUGGCCUCUGAUGAUGCUUCAUUGCAGGCGGAGCGGCUGGUGGGGGAUGGGGGUGUUGGCCGGUUACGAGCGGCGCCAGGUGGGCCGACGAUGGAACCUCCUCGCCGUUGACGCUGGUGAUAUCGUGGAUGCUGGACCUCCUCCUGUCCCUGUUCAUGGAGUUCAAACGGAUGAAGUAUUUCUGGGCAUGGCUUGCCACCUGCGUUGGAGUUCUUGAAAUCACAUAGUUUCUUGAAAUGCUCCUCCAAUCCCCUUUCCCAAACUUGUCCAACCCCAGUAAAAACAACCUGCAUCACACAAAAAAGUUGAACAUUUGGGCCAUUAGAAUUUAGAGGGUAAAAGUAUAAAAGUACCUGUGCUCCUCUUCGGUCCACGGAAUCCCCUUCCGCCGCUCUUGCUCUGACCGGCUGGCGCUUCCGCCACCCUUGCCGGCGCUGGGCUCCACAGGAGAGAAACUAGAGUUGGAAAAGGGCUUAUCUUUCUGAUGAAAGGGGUGGUCUUUAUAAGAAGAAGAUGAAGCUGUUGCAAUAUUUGUAUUGUAGUUAGGUAAUGGCACAUUCCCAGCUUCAAUGGCAGCUACAUCUUCAAGAAGAAGCAUGUAGUGAUGCUUUAAUUCAAGAAUGCUUUUGGUGGGAACCAUUGAAGCAAUCUUGGUCCAGCUUUGUUCCUUGCAUUCCUCGUUCCAGUGCAUGGCAAUGCCGUUCUCAAAUUCCUUCUCUUCUUCCCGGCUCCACCCACCUCCCGACCAACCUCCCGACAUGCGCGCGUGUGUGUGUGUAUAUACGUAUGUAUAUGUUGAGAGCUCAAGAAUUGUUGGAGAUGGUGGAGAGAGGGAGUUGCAGGAAUAAGGAGAGGAGGAAUGCAAGAUAAGCAUUAAUGGAAGAGAAGGACCACCUGUCACUAGUGCGACUCCAUGGGAUGGGUGCAUUUGUCAUAUAUAUUACAAAAUCAUUGCAUUUCUACUUU